UACGAAGGGGGCUAGCGUUGUUCGGAAUUACUGGGCGUAAAGCGUUUGUAGGCGGUUAUACAAGUCAGAUGUGAAAGCCUGGGGCUCAACCUCAGAAUUGCAUUUGAAACUGUAUAGCUAGAGAAUGUUAGAGGAAAGUGGAAUUCCUAGUGUAGGAGUGAAAUCCGUAGAGAUUAGGAGGAAUAUCGAUGGCGAAGGCAGCUUUCUGGGACAUUUCUGACGCUGAGAAACGAAAGCGUGGGUAGCAAACAGG
rnacentral:rRNA from 1 species